GAGGGAACCAAGGGGGAAACCCUACUUCUUAAAAAUCCUACAAAUUGAAGGGAUUGAAAGCUGAAUUCUAGGUGCAUGAGUUAGGAAUUAAGAUCUCCUAACUAUAUUAGAUACCAAAAGGUGUUUAGAUGGGGUCGAAGAAAGGAGGGGAAUCAAACCAAGCAAAGGCAAUAGGAGCGCACGACUCCGGUGAAUCUCACUCUUGAUAAUGGCGAGCUUGGAUCGAACACACCACAUCGCCCUUUAUGCGCUUCCGGUUAAAGUUGUCUUUGUAAAUGGGUUAAAACACUUUCAUAAUGUAAAUGUUAAAUUUAUGCCUAGGAUGUUUUGUAGGUAAGUUAGGAUUUUAAAUCUUAUUUUGGUAGUUCGGGCAAAACGCUUUUGAUGGAAUCUUGUAUGGUUACAACUUUUAUGUCUUUUGAAACGUGUCGUAGAAUUUAGUUUGGAUAGUGAUUGUUAAAAGCAGGGAAUUGCUUAUAGUACGAACGGGUCAUUCCCAAUUUUU
rnacentral:lncRNA from 1 species